rnacentral:piRNA from 1 species
UACCAGCUCAUUCUCUCCUGCAUUCCU